AACGCUGGCGGCGUGCCUAAUACAUGCAAGUCGAGCGAAUCGACGGGAGCUUGCUCCCUGAGAUUAGCGGCGGACGGGUGAGUAACACGUGGGCAACCUGCCUAUAAGACUGGGAUAACUUCGGGAAACCGGAGCUAAUACCGGAUACGUUCUUUUCUCGCAUGAGAGAAGAUGGAAAGACGGUUUACGCUGUCACUUAUAGAUGGGCCCGCGGCGCAUUAGCUAGUUGGUGAGGUAAUGGCUCACCAAGGCGACGAUGCGUAGCCGACCUGAGAGGGUGAUCGGCCACACUGGGACUGAGACACGGCCCAGACUCCUACGGGAGGCAGCAGUAGGGAAUCUUCCGCAAUGGACGAAAGUCUGACGGAGCAACGCCGCGUGAACGAAGAAGGCCUUCGGGUCGUAAAGUUCUGUUGUUAGGGAAGAACAAGUACCAGAGUAACUGCUGGUACCUUGACGGUACCUAACCAGAAAGCCACGGCUAACUACGUGCCAGCAGCCGCGGUAAUACGUAGGUGGCAAGCGUUGUCCGGAAUUAUUGGGCGUAAAGCGCGCGCAGGUGGUUCCUUAAGUCUGAUGUGAAAGCCCACGGCUCAACCGUGGAGGGUCAUUGGAAACUGGGGAACUUGAGUGCAGAAGAGGAAAGUGGAAUUCCAAGUGUAGCGGUGAAAUGCGUAGAGAUUUGGGAGGAACACCAGUGGCGAAGGCGACUUUCUGGUCUGUAACUGACACUGAGGGCGCGAAAGCGUGGGGAGCAAACAGGAUUAGAUACCCUUGGUAGUCCACGCCGUAAACAAUGAGUGCUAAGUGUUAGAGGGUUUCCGCCCUUU
rnacentral:rRNA from 1 species